GGGGAUGAGCUGUGGAUAGGGGUGAAAGGCCAAUCAAACUCUGUGAUAGCUGGUUCUCCCCGAAAUGCAUUUAGGUGCAGCGUUACGUGUUUCUUGCCGGAGGUAGAGCUACUGGAUGGCCGAUGGGCCUUCACGGGUUACUGACGUCAGCUAAACUCCGAAUGCCGGUAAGUGAGAGCGUAGCAGUGAGACAGUGGGGGAUAAGCUUCAUUGUCGAGAGGGAAACAGCCCAGACCAUCAACUAAGGCCCCUAAGCGUGUGCUAAGUGGGAAAGGAUGUGGAGUUGCUGAGACAACCAGGAGGUUGGCUUAGAAGCAGCCAUCCUUGAAAGAGUGCGUAAUAGCUCACUGGUCAAGUGAUUCUGCGCCGAUAAUGUAGCGGGGCUCAAGUACACCGCCGAAGUUGUGGCAAUGAUCUUUUUGGAUUGUUGGGUAGGGGAGCGUCGUGUAGCCGGUGAAGCUGCGGUGUAAACCAGUGGUGGAGGCUAUGCGAGUGAGAAUGCAGGCAUGAGUAGCGAAAGAUGAGUGAGAAACUCAUCCGCCGGAUGAUCAAGGGUUCCAGGGUCAAGUUAAUCUGCCCUGGGUUAGUCGGGGCCUAAGGCGAGGCCGACAGGCGUAGUCGAUGGAUAACGGGUUGAUAUUCCCGUACCGGUGAAAAACCGCCCAUACUGAUAUUGUGAUGCUAACCAUGCGAAGCAUGAUGUGCAGGCUUUUGUUUGUGUGUUGUGUGGGUUGUGGGACCCGAUCUUUGGAGGUAAACGUGUUAACAGGUGUGACGCAGGAAGGUAGCCAAGCCACGCGAUGGUUGUCGUGGUCUAAGCGUGUAGGGUUGUCGGUUGUUAAAUGCGCCGGCUGUGUGCCUGAGACGUGAUGGGACCCCGUUUUUGGGGGAUUUGGUGAUCCUAUGCUGCCGAGAAAAGCAUCGGCGUGAGGUUUUAGCCGCCCGUACCCUAAACCGACACAGGUGAUCAGGUAGAGAAUACUAAGGCGAUCGAGAGAAUCAUGGUUAAGGAACUCGGCAAAAUGCCCCCGUAACUUCGGGAGAAGGGGGGCCCUGAGCGUGAUCUGCCCGUGCGGUGGGGAGCGUGUAGGGGUCGCAGAGACCAGGGGGAAGCGACUGUUUAUCAAAAACACAGGUCCGUGCGAAGUCGUAAGACGAUGUAUACGGACUGACUCCUGCCCGGUGCUGGAAGGUUAAGAGGAUUGGUUAGCCCUUUUUGGGCGAAGCUGAGAAUUUAAGCCCCAGUAAACGGCGGUGGUAACUAUAACCAUCCUAAGGUAGCGAAAUUCCUUGUCGGGUAAGUUCCGACCUGCACGAAUGG
rnacentral:rRNA from 1 species